rnacentral:rRNA from 1 species
ACUCCUACGGGAGGCAGCAGUGGGGAAUAUUGCACAAUGGGGGAAACCCUGAUGCAGCCAUGCCGCGUGUGUGAAAAGGCCUUCGGGUUGUAAAGCACUUUCAGUAGGGAGGAAGGUAGUGGUAGUUAACACCUGCAUUAUUUGACGUUAUCCUACAGAAGAAAGCACCGGCUAACUCCUGCCAGCAGCCGCGUAAUACGGAGGGUGCGAGCGUUAAUCGGAAUUACU